CCCUCAACAUGGGCUGAGUGCUCACGAAAGCCAAGCUUGUCCCAUUUCCACUCUUGGACACUUGAUGUUACCCCAAACACCGGCAGCCGCAGACCCAAGGGAAAAUUAGAAUUUAAGAAAAAAAAAUGGAUUCUUAAGUUGACAGCACUUUGAGCUGAACUUGGGGUAUUUUGAGUUCAGUUGCAUGGCCAAGGGCAGAACUACCUCUAGUGGGAGGACAAUCAUCUUGUGCUUUUCCAGACUCAUUUUUUUGAAAAGUUGAGUGAAAAAUGGUAUAGAUGUACAGAGGGCUGGUGGCUGCGCAGCAGCCUGGCCUCUGAGCAAGAGGGGAGCGGACAGCCUUGCUGCUCUGAAGUGAGUGAUCCUUGCACGUCUGAGCACUGCGAUUGUCAGCCGAGGGGUGCCAUGGCGUGGCCAAACCUUCACCGCGCUGGGUGUCUGGUGUUCCCAGGCCCCUGGGAGGACGGAGAACAAGAGUGUCCUUCCAGUCAGAGCUGAGAGUCAA
rnacentral:lncRNA from 12 species